GGCAGAUCCAUUUUCUGCACCGAAUACAUUAGCAUGGGAUAAUGGAAUAGGACCCUGUCCUCCUAUUUUCAGUUGGUUUGCCGCGAGGACCAGGGUAAUGAUUAAUAGGGAUAGUUGGGGGCAUUAAUAUUUAAUUGUCAGAGGUGAAAUUCUUGGAUUUAUGAAAGAUUAACUUCUGCGAAAGCAUCUGCCAAGGAUGUUUUCAUUAAUCAAGAACGAAAGUUAGGGGAUCGAAGACGAUCAGAUACCGUCGUAGUCUUAACCAUAAACGAUGCCGACCAGCGAUUAGGAGACGUUGAAUACAAAACACCACCAUGCGAUUGCGGUCGUCUUUGGUGUCGCUCACAAGGCGGCAUCGGGACGGCUUAGCUCGCAUGGCACCGGUGAAUGACUCCCCUAGCAGCUUGUGAGAA
rnacentral:rRNA from 1 species